rnacentral:rRNA from 1 species
UACGUAGGGUGCAAGCGUUUAAUCGGAAUUACUGGGCGUAAAGCGUGCGCAGGCGGUUUUGUAAGUCUGUCGUGAAAGCCCCGGGCUCAACCUGGGAAUUGCGAUGAAGACUGCAAGGCUUGAAUCUGGCAGAGGGGGGUAGAAUUCCACGUGUAGCAGUGAAAUGCGUAGAGAUGUGGAGGAACACCGAUGGCGAAGGCAGCCCCCUGGGUCAAGAUUGACGCUCAUGCACGAAAGCGUGGGGAGCAAACAGG